rnacentral:rRNA from 1 species
GAUGAACGCUAGCGGCAGGCUUAAUACAUGCAAGUUGAGGGGCAGCAUGAUAUACGCGAGUAUAUUGAUGACGACCGGCGGACGGGUGAGUAAUAGGUAGGAGACCUACCUCAUACAGGGGGAUAGCAUAGAGAAAUCUGUGGUAAUACCCCAUGAGGUUAUAUGAAUAGAGGCAUAUAAUCAAAGCAUAAGUGAUUAUGCGGUAUGAGAGGGGCCUACUGACCAUUAGCUAGUUGGUGAGGUAAGGGCUCACCAAGGCGAAGAUGGUUAGGGGUUUUGAGAGAGAGACCCCCCACAUUGGAACUGAGAGACGGUCCAGACUCCUACGGGAGGCAGCAGUAGGGAAUAUUGGGCAAUGGGCGAAAGCCUGACCCAGCCAUGCCGCGUGAAGGAAGACGGCCUUAUGGGUUGUAAACUUCUUUACUACGCGAAUAGAGGUUAGUACGAGAUACUAAUAGGAAGGUAGUGUAGUAAAAGCACCGGCUAACUCCGUG